GGUGCUGUGGCCAUGGCAACCGCGUUACUAAGAGGGCGGGGAAGGGAUGCUGCGGGAGGGGGAGGAGGGCACCAGGACCACAGAGCAGAGAUUUCAGAUGAGAGCGCUAAACCUCCAAAAGCUUCUGGAGGCCAGGGACAGUGACCGCUUAGCUGCUGUUUUUGUAGCCCGCGCGCCCAACACACUGCCAGGCACAUAGAGGGCGGGAGGAGGACAAGGACUGUACCUGUGUUUUUAUUUGUUCAGAAAACUCUUAGAGGAGGAACUACUUUUAGCAGUGCAGAUCAGCACUUUAUGUUCAACUUACAGUCUUUGACAAGUGUUGCCCAGAGAACUGAAAGAUUGUGACUAGCAUAAAGUCAUUCAGCAAAGUUGGCACCUGAAAAAUAUAUGAAAUGAUUUCUAGCUAUGUGACAUUGGAAUGGCACCCUCAUCUGCCCUUUUAUAUUGUCCUUUCUCAUGAAGAACCCAGCAGCUCUUUUCAGUCAUCAGAGGAGAACCUGGACUUGGCUAUCUUUUUUAAGUAGCUGGAUGUCAAAGCAAGAGUUAGGAGCUAAGAAUAUUGGAAUGCUGAAAAAGGCCAGUCUAGAGGUUGUCAGCCCACUGGACAGUUUAUCUAUCUUCAUCCACUUCUGAAAUCUUCAAGCAAAGACUGAAUGAUCACUUCUGGGAUAUGAGUUCAAGACGAUAUUUACCAUGUGCAGCCAUAGAUCUCACUAAAUGGUGAAAUGAAGCUGUUCAAUACUUGUAUCUUCUGAGGGUACAAAUUAUUUUACACCCAUGCAACAACCAGAGGGAGGGCUGGAACAAAUACAUAAAAAGACUUUUUGUAAAUGCUCUGUUGGCCUUGACAAGCUGGAAAAGCUUUGCAUAUCAGCUCAUAAACAGACUAUAUAUCUCUGUAUGGAUACCAAAAAGCAUAGCUAACAGCAAUAAGAAAGACAAGUGACCAGGUUAGAAACAACUGGUAAGUAUUGGAAGGUUUGGCAUCUGUAAUCAUUAAAGGGUGGUCCUUACAUUGAUGAAAUCACUCGUACUUAAACUCUUGAAAUAAUGAUGAAGAUGAUGAAGGUAACAGCUAACAUUUAAAUAGUGUGUCCUAUAUACUACUGGGUGCUAUAUUAAGUGUUUUAUAAUUCUGAUG